rnacentral:rRNA from 1 species
GUCUUUUAUUUUAUAUUUAAAGUCUCGCCUGCCCACUGAAAAUUUUAAAUGGCCGCGGUAUUUUGACCGUGCUAAGGUAGCAUAAUCAUUAGUUUUUUAAUUGAAAGCUGGAAUGAAGGGUUGGAUGAAAAAAUAAUUGUCUCUAUUUAAUUAAUAAGAAUUUUAUUUUUAAGUUAAAAAGCUUAAAUAAUAUUGAAAGACGAGAAGACCCUAUAGAGUUUUAUAUAUUUUAAUUUAAUUAUUUUUUGUAUUUAUAUUAUUUAUUUUAAAAUGUAUUUGAUUGGGGUGAUUAAAAAAUUUAAUAAACUUUUUUAUAUUAAAAUAUAAAUAAAUAAUUUGUUGAUCCAUUAUUUUUGAUUAUAAGAUUAAAUUACCUUAGGGAUAACAGCGUAAUUUUACUGGAGAGUUCAAAUUAAGAGUAAAGAUUGCGACCUCGAUGUUGGAUUAAAAUUUAUAAUUGGUGCAGAAGCUAUAUUAUUAAGUCUUUUCCACU